GAGCGCUGCGUGCGCGCAGUCGAAGCGACGCCAGAGUUCGGUUUCUAGUUCCUCCCUAGAGGAGGCCAACAGAGGAGAUGAUCCAUCGCCAUCUCCUGAGAAGAAAACGAGGGGUACCUUAGAGAGAGGAAUGAGCACUGAACAAAAUGACAAAAACUCUUUGCCCUGUUGCAUGAGUUUACAUUCAAGAAGUGGCAUAAAGACAAUAAACAGAAGAAGGAAAACGUUUACAGUAUGGAGGAAAAUUAAGCAGGCCACCAAGGACUACCAGAUAUCUGAUGAAAGCCUGUUAUAUAGAAGAUAGAGACCAAAACAAACAAGCACAAACAGAAGAAGCAUCUUGGAAAAAACAGAAAUUAGUCAAGACUUAAAAGCGACAGCCAAAGUCAUAUCCUCAGAGAGAGAAGAGGGGAUGUUGCAUCCAUUAAAUAAGAACUAAAGCUAUGGAAAUGGAAGAUUUAGCGGGAGGAAACCCAACUGCUCUUGGAAAUUAAAAACAUGGUAGCAGAAAACAAAUACUUGUGCUGUCCAGUGUGCUAACCACUAACCACUCUACUGAGAAGCAAAUUACUUAAAAUUAACAAAAUUAAAAAUUUAACUCCUCGUUUGCGCUA